AAAAAGGGCUCUGUCAUGAGUGGGACACGUAGGGCGACUCUGUUUGCUCUUCAUGUGCAAUUGACAUCAAUAUAUUUUGGAAGCACAAUUUUUUGGUACUGGGAUAGCUGGCAAUCAUUGGUCCUGGCACUUGA